UACAGAGGUCUCAAGCGUUGUUCGGAUUCACUGGGCGUAAAGGGUGCGUAGGCGGCGCUGUAAGUCGGGUGUGAAAUCUCGGAGCUUAACUCCGAAACUGCAUUCGAUACUGCGGUGCUUGAGGACUGGAGAGGAGACUGGAAUUCAUGGUGUAGCAGUGAAAUGCGUAGAGAUCAUGAGGAAGACCAGUGGCGAAGGCGGGUCUCUGGACAGUUCCUGACGCUGAGGCACGAAGGCCAGGGGAGCAAACGGG
rnacentral:rRNA from 1 species